rnacentral:rRNA from 1 species
GGGGUGCUAUACAUGCAGUCGAGCGAAUGGAUUAAGAGCUUGCUCUUAUGAAGUUAGCGGCGGACGGGUGAGUAACACGUGGGUAACCUGCCCAUAAGACUGGGAUAACUCCGGGAAACCGGGGCUAAUACCGGAUAACAUUUUGAACCGCAUGGUUCGAAAUUGAAAGGCGGCUUCGGCUGUCACUUAUGGAUGGACCCGCGUCGCAUUAGCUAGUUGGUGAGGUAACGGCUCACCAAGGCAACGAUGCGUAGCCGACCUGAGAGGGUGAUCGGCCACACUGGGACUGAGACACGGCCCAGACUCCUACGGGAGGCAGCAGUAGGGAAUCUUCCGCAAUGGACGAAAGUCUGACGGAGCAACGCCGCGU